GGGAUGGCCAGUCACUUGUGACCUACUUUCAGAGCUGGCAGUUCUGACUUCUAGAACAAACUCGGAACAAGCCCAUCUACAGCUGGUUGACUGAGUUUCCUUUGGGCUCCUGGCACCAGAAAGAAUUGCUCACUGGAAGGAUCAUAGGUGGCACUCAUGUCUCACUGCCCCACUCAGCUUGCCUGUGUGGACUCCUGCCUGCUCUCUGUGCCAGGAUCCCGUGACAUGAAACAGAAUAAGUGCUUCAUAAACGGGAGUGACACUAGGCGUGGUGGCAUGCAUCUGGAGUCCUAGCUACGCGGGAGGCUGAGGCAGGAGGAUUGCCUGAGCCUAGGAGUUGGAGGCUCUAAUGCACUUGGAUAGCACCUAUGAAUAGCCAGUGCCCUCCAACCUGGGCAACAUAGUGAGCUCUUGUCACC
rnacentral:lncRNA from 10 species